rnacentral:rRNA from 1 species
AGUGAACGCUGGCGGUAGGCCUAACACAUGCCAGUCGAACGGCAGCACAGUAAGAGCUUGCUCUUACGGGUGGCGAGUGGCGGACGGGUGCGGAAUACACCGGAAUCUACUUUUUCGUGGGGGAUAACGCAGGGAAACUUACGCUAAUACCGCAUACGACCUACGGGUGAAAGCAGGGGAUCUUCGGACCUUGCGCGAUUGAAUGAGCCGAUGUCGGAUUAGCUAGUUGGCGGGGUAAAGGCGCACCAAGGCGACGAUCCGUAGCUGGUCUGAGAGGAUGAUCAGCCACACUGGAACUGAGACACAGUACAGACUCCUACGGGGGGCAGCAGUGGGGAAUAUUGCACGAUGGGCGAGAGCCUGAUCCAGCCAUACCGCGUGAGUGAAGAAGGCCUUCUGGUUGUAAAGCCCUUUUGUUGGGAAAGAAAAACAGCAGGUUAAUACCCCGCUGUUCUGACGGUACCCAAAGAAUAAGCACCGGCUAACUUCGUG